AAGAGAUCGAUUCCCAAUAUCCCCCCUCAAGUUGGAGGGGAAAGAAGAGAGACCCAACUUGCCAAGGAUGGAUCGAUGUGAAGGCCCAGAAAGGGGUUUGGUAAACAAAUCAGCAAGUUGUGAUUUUGAAGGCAAAUAUGAAAGGGAGAUGAGGCCAGAUAGAAAUUGUUGUCUCACAAAGUGACAGUCAAGUUCCACAUGUUUCGUCCGUUCGUGGAAAACGGUGUUCGGUGCAAUAUGUAUGGCUGCCUGACUAUCGGAGAAAAUAGGAACCGGAAUUGGUGGUGGUACGGAUAGAUCUGUAAGGAGGCGAGUUAGCCAAGUAAGCUCAGCCACUAAACACUGCAUGGAACGAUACUCAUCCUCGGCGGAAGAAAGGGAAAUAGAAGCUUGCUUUUUGGAUUUCCAAGAGAUCGAAGAGCCCCCUAAGCUGAUGAAGAACCCACUGAUAGACCGGCGAGUAUCGCGGCAGGAGGCCCAGUCGGCGUCGCAAAAAACCAAAAGAGAAAGAGAUGGUCUUGAAUUCAAAAACAACCCAUGUCCUGGAUUAGUACGAAGGUAAUGAAGAACUCGAAGAGCUGCUGUGAAGUGAUCAAGACAAGGCUUCUGCAUGUAUUGACUUAGAGUCAAAACAGCAAAAGAAAGGUCGGGGCGUGUAUGUGUCAAGUAAUUUAAUUUGCCGACAAGACGCCGAAAAACUGAAGGAUCAGCAAGGAGGGGACUGGAGUCAGCUGUGAGUGCGAAAGAAGGAUCAAUAGGAGAAGACACCAUGGAAAGAUGGGAGUAAUCAAACUCAGAUAUCACAGAUGCAAGAACGCUGCAUAUUGGUGCUGAGAGUGUCAAGUUCAUCCCAUAAACACUUUUGAGUCUAGUGAAAUAGCCUGCAAUGUCGGUUGAACCCUGAACUAAGUCAGCUAAUUCCUUUUGUAGCUGGUACAAUUUUGCACCAUUGGGUUGUCCAAACCUGUGCUCCAGAUCUGUCCAGAGGUCUUUUGCUGUUUUAGAAUAAAAACACUAUCAGCGAUCCUUUUGGUGAGAGAAUUUAGUAACCAAGAUGUUACCAUAUCGUUACACCCAUUCCAGAUUUUCAGAUCUGAGUGAGUUAUGGCUGGGGUAGGACAAGAUCCAUCAAUGAAUCCCAGUUUGUUUUUGGCUGAAAGGGAUAUGAGAAUGGACCUACUCCAUCCUCGAUACCCACGACCAUUAAAGGGAGUAUUUAUCAAAACCAUCUCAGGCGUAUCAGAAGCAUGAAAAAAAUAAGGAUGGGUUGAAUCAACAAGAGUUGAAGAUCCGGUCCCAGGUGAGGUUUGAGUCACACCAGGUGAGGUCUGAGUCAGAUCAGUCAAAUCUGCAGACAUGACGUUAUGAAGGAAUGAAGAACAGUGAAUCAGAAAGAAGAAAGAAGAAAUGAAAAGGACGGAUCAGUAGAAGAAUUUCAACUGCUCUGAUACCAUGUAGAAAUUAGGAGAGUCUAAUUGGAAAAUUUUCUGCUUUCUUCAUUGAUUUUCAUUGUACAAGAACGUCUAUAUAUACAGAUAUUCCUUGCUGAGAGAAAAAGAAUGACCAAUGAUAUAUUGUACACUUGUAAGAAUUUUACUAGACUAAUCAUAACAAAUAACUAACUAUUAUUCCCUAUA